UACGAAGGGGGGCUAGCGUUGCUCGGAAUCACUGGGCGUAAAGGGUGCGUAGGCGGGUCUUUAAGUCAGGGGUGAAAUCCUGGAGCUCAACUCCAGAACUGCCCUUGAUACUGAAGGUCUUGAGUUCGGGAGAGGUGAGUGGAACUGCGAGUGUAGAGGUGAAAUUCGUAGAUAUUCGCAAGAACACCAGUGGCGAAGGCGGCUCACUGGCCCGAUACUGACGCUGAGGCACGAAAGCGUGGGGAGCAAACAGG
rnacentral:rRNA from 1 species